GAUGAACGCUGGCGGCGUGCCUAAUACAUGCAAGUCGAGCGAACGGACGAUAAGCGUGCUUCUCUGAUGUUAGCGGCGGGCGGGUGAGUAACACGUGGAUAACCUACCUAUAUGACUGGGAUAACUUCGGGAAACCGGAGCUAAUACCGGAUAAUAUUUUGAACCGCAUGGUUCAAAAGUGAAAGACGGUCUUGCUGUCACUUAUAGAUGGAUCCGCGUUGCAUUAGCUAGUUGGUAAGGUAACGGCUUACCAAGGCAACGAUGCAUAGCCGACCUGAGAGGGUGAUCGGCCACACUGGAACUGAGACACGGUCCAGACUCCUACGGGAGGCAGCAGUAGGGAAUCUUCCGCAAUGGGCGAAAGCCUGACGGAGCAACGCCGCGUGAGUGAUGAAGGUCUUCGGAUCGUAAAACUCUGUUAUUAGGGAAGAACAUAUGUGUAAGUAACUGUGCACAUCUUGACGGUACCUAAAGAGAAAGCCACGGCUAACUACGUG
rnacentral:rRNA from 1 species